UAGUCCAUUCACUUUGGGUUCUCCUUGUUUUAGGGUGUUCCUACAUCAUCAGUCGCUGAUUCUAAUGGCUAUAGAGAUAAGAGGGAUAGAAGCAGAGAUGACACAUUGACCACUGUCAUGUCAGAGAUCGGAAAGUCAGAAUAAUAGAUGGGGCUUCUCUAUAUGCACUUUGCCGAUCAUGGUUGAGGAAUGGUUAUCCAGAAGAAAGUCAGCCACAGUAUGGGGAUGCUGUGAAGUCUCUUCCAAAACCUUUGCCUAUACCCGUGUCAGCCACUCAUCUGCCAAAGAACAAGGAAGCUGAAGAAGAAGAGGCAGAGGAUAAGGAGGAUGAGGAAUCUGUUGAGCAUUUGUCACCUCAAGAUCUUUUGAAAGGACACAUCAAACAUGCUAAAAAGGUUCGAGCACGAGUAAGGGAAGAACAGUUACGGCGAAUUGCAAGGUAUAACAGUAGGCUUGCUCUUCUCCUUCCUCUGCUGGUAGAACAGUUCAGAAAUGAUACAGCUCCUAGAAACUGAUUCUUGCAGCGUUGACCAGACAUCUUUGUUAAUAUUGGGCAUCCUCUUGCACUUCUUGUCAAAGUUGUAAACUUGCAGAGGUUCUUAAGCCUUUAUGGGAUACAGGAAAAGUGACUCAAAUUUGCUGGAGUUCAUUGAUCAAGAUGCAAGCCAGGCGAUUGUAAAAUUGUUUGGGGAGGUUUUUGCUUAUAAAUAUACAUAGAAUUGUUGUUAGCUUUGCCCUUGUGUUUACAUCAUCGUGCAACUUCGAAACAGAGUGCAAAUGUUCUCUGCUAAUCUCUAAUUAAUCUACUUUCGUUUUUUCU